CUCAGUUUGGGCUCAGUUUGGGCUCAGUUUGGGCUCAUUUGGGCUCAGUUUGGGCUCAUUUGGGCUCAGUUUGGGCUCAAUUUGGCU